GCUUGCUUGAAAUGUAGGGGUCUGAUCAUAUAUUGCAGUUAUUGUGCUAUCUGGAGUUGAUCAUUAGCGUGUAGACUUGUUUACAGAAAAGUUGUACUUGCAGAGAGUUGGUGCGCCAGCUUGCAAAGUUAAGCACAAAGCUGAGAGGAGAGUUCCUUUGUUCUGUACGCUGAGCUUUGAAAGGGAGUUCAGGGAAGGAUCAUACCAAUUAUCAUUUACUCCUACUAGUACUCUUAAAUACUUUAGAGACCAUGGCAAAAGGAUCGAAGUAGUACAUUUUCUGGUUUUUGUGAACAUAUUGUGGAAGAAAACAAAACAGAUCUUUUGAUGAUCAACUAGGCAUGUUUAUUAUCGGAUUUACAGAAAUCAACUUAUUCUCAGCAAGACAUCCAAACUGUAUGUGGAAUUGUGUACAAGUAUCGUCCAUUGCUCAUUUUAAUAAUUCCAGCACUAGAAUGCUAACCAUGGGGAAUUAUACACUCUCUUGGAAUUACAACUCUACACUUCAAAACCUUUUCAUUCAUUCCGAAAUUGGGAUUAAAAUAUACCUUGUUUGGAAUACUUAUUUUGGUGGAACCUUCGGUUCAGUAUCAGCACAUUUAGACGUAUCUUUGGGGACUGAGAAUUCAACAGGAAUAAAACGAUGAUGAUCUGAAACAAGUACCAGAAACCUGAAGGGAUAUUUGUUGACAGAACUGCUUCACAGCUCACCGCUGCAACCCCUGUGCUGACUCGGGGGAGACGAAGAUGAGCACACACGUCCUCUGAAACGUGUGCCAUCAGCCGUCCACUUCUUUUCACUCUGCAG